rnacentral:rRNA from 1 species
CCCAGACAGCCAGGAUGUUGGCUUAGAAGCAGCCAUCAUUUAAAGAAAGCGUAAUAGCUCACUGGUCGAGUCGGCCUGCGCGGAAGAUGUAACGGGGCUAAACCAUGCACCGAAGCUGCGGCAGCGACACUGUGUGUUGUUGGGUAGGGGAGCGUUCUGUAAGCCUGCGAAGGUGGCCUGUGAGGGUUGCUGGAGGUAUCAGAAGUGCGAAUGCUGACAUAAGUAACGAUAAAGCGGGUGAAAAGCCCGCUCGCCGGAAGACCAAGGGUUCCUGUCCAACGUUAAUCGGGGCAGGGUGAGUCGACCCCUAAGGCGAGGCCGAAAGGCGUAGUCGAUGGGAAACGGGUUAAUAUUCCCGUACUUGGUGUUACUGCGAAGGGGGGACGGAGAAGGCUAUGUUGGCCGGGCGACGGUUGUCCCGGUUUAAGCGUGUAGGUGUGUGUUCCAGGUAAAUCCGGUUCACUUUAACACUGAGGCGUGACGACGAGGCACUACGGUGCUGAAGCAACAAAUGCCCUGCUUCCAGGAAAAGCCUCUAAGCAUCAGGUAACAUCAAAUCGUACCCCAAACCGACACAGGUGGUCAGGUAGAGAAUAC